GUGAUUGUAGUUUAGUGGUAAGAAUUUCACGUUGUGGCUGUGGAAACUUGGGCUUGAAUCCUAGCAACCACA
rfam:Ipomoea nil DNA, scaffold: scaffold2761, cultivar: Tokyo-kokei standard.